UAUGAAUCAGGAAAACAUUUUAUGAAAGGGCAGCCGGUAUCAGACGCCAGAGUAUACACGCCAUCCAUCAGCAAACCAUUAGCGAAGGGAGAAGUCUCGGGUUUGCCAGAGGUGAGUAAAAAGACGCUUUCCUCUCUACCCUGCUGGCAAAACAGCAGCUGUAGAAGCACCGUGACUCCAGCCCACGUUUCCGUUAUCGUUUGGAGUUCCCUUUUUAUGCAUGCAUGAGGCUUUAAUCCUUUCUGACAGAAUGAAAUCUGAAUUAGGAAGAUGCAUUUUUGCCGAUGCCUCUAGCUCUGCCCCUCUGCCUGGAGACGAAUAGCUGUUUCUGCUUCCGGGCCAGAGCGGAGGGCAGGAGGCAGUAUUUUCAGGUGGAAGAUGGAACGCUGAGGACCAUCUGACUGGUAUAUUUCGGUGUCAGCAGAUCCUGAGUGGAAGGGGGUGAGGAAAGGGACAUUUUCAUGCUUUACAAAGCUGUUUAUCGCACAGUCGAAAGCCGCAGUUAAACAGGCACCAAACUGUGUCCAUCCGGUGUGUGCGGUUAGGGACCUUUCUGUAGGGCGUCCGUUGAAUAUCUGCUUUGGUCACGUGGAGUGAAAAUUAAACAAUUUUUUUUCUUUCUAUAAGAAAGUAACCUGACCCCUGUUUUAUACCUUGGUGUAAAUAUGGCUGUUUGCCAACCUCUCUCUUACAUUUCAUUGAGCUACAGUUGUAAAAGCUGAUGGAGUGUGAAAUGAAAAUGUGUGUCACAUUUCCAAGCAUCAUUUGAUGUCCUUUCUCCAACACAAUUGUUAAGCACUCCAGAAAAAAUACGCAGCCAUGACUUCACAUGCGGAAAAAGGGAGAAGUGAUAUUUAUCUGACCGUACAAUUCCACAAUUGUUUAAGUACGCGUAUUAUCUUUCCCCUGAAAAUAAGUCACAACGGCAUGUUAAUUAGACUUUGAGAGUAGUGACAAAGAGGGCCCUCUUAUCUCCGUUCUCACUUAACGUGGUGAUGGACUCUGGUGUCCAAACAUGAGUGACACCUCUCCCGAGCCUGACAAGUGUCUAUGCACAGCCAUCUGACCGAUAAUGGAAUGACGCACACCAGCCUCUGUCACAGCCCCGCCAACUGUGUGUCGUCCUCAACAGGGAGUGAACUCUAAUACUGGAUAAGCAUAACCAUGAAUGUUUCCUGUUGUUAAAAAAAAGAAAAAAAAAUCCUUGGGGUUUGGGAUGGAUGACCCGGAAGGAACAGUAUAAUCCAGAAUUUAAAUUUUACUGCUAGAGAGUCGGCUUUUGAUGUGUUAGCUAAUACUUUAGAAAUUUAAAAAAAAAAAAAAAAAUUUGAUGUUUGUUUAUUGUUGAGAGAGAGACAGAGAGUGAGUGGGGGAGGGGCAGAGAGAGAGAGGAAGACACAGAAUCCGAAGCAGGCUCCAGGCUCUGGGCUCUAGGCUCUGAGCUGUCAGCACAGAGCCCCACGCGGGGCUCGAACUCACCAAUCAUGCACGACCUGAGCCGAAGUCGGAUGCUUAACUGACUGAGCCACCCAGGUGCCCCAAUACUUCAGAAAUUUUUAAAGGAAGUUGGUCUGUGGUGGUUGUUGUUUGCUUUUCUACAGAGCGUGUAUUACAAGGUUGACUUUAAAAUUGCCACAGUGAGGGGCACCUGGGUGGCUCAGUCGGUUGAGCAUCCCACUCCUGAUUUUGGCUCAGGUCACGAUCCCAGAGUCAUAGGAUGGAGCCCCACGUCAGGCUGUGCGCCGAGCACAGAGUCUGCUUGGGAUUCUCUCUCUGUCUCUGUCUCUGUCUCUCUCUGCCCCCCUCCCCCACUCACGUUCUCUCUCUCUCUCUCUCUGGAUGAUAAAAUAAAAAUAAAUAAAAAUUAAAAGAAAAUAAAUUGCCACAAUGCAAAGGACUUCACAGCACGUGGCAGUAGGGGGCAAACUAUUAUCUCAGAGACCCUGCCGGAUGUAAUCCCAUCAACGUGUGUCCGUGGAAAAGGACAGUGUUCGGAAACAUUAUCGUAAACCAAGAAAAGCAGUGCCCUUCUGUUAGUUCCUUAACUAUACUGUUUCUUGCUAAAAGGGCAGCCCCAUUUAAAUUCCGGGGGGUGGGGGAGCAGCCUUUUCCCCUCUGCCUUCCUCCCUGCCUCCAGCCCAGAAAAUGUGUUGACAUCUGUUCCCACCGCCAGCCUCCCUCCACUCUGGGCUGUCUGAGAUCCUUGCUAGGAUGUGCUGGCCCUCCUGGCUUUCGAGGAGGAGUCUUAGAGUAUGCAUGAAACCAAAGGGUUUGGGAUUAUCAGUUCGGAUGCUUGCGUCGAGAGGAAAUCAGGCAAGUCUUUCGUUACCGUGUGCGACUUCCUGGACAUUAAUGAGCAUAGCUUUACACUUCAUUAUUUGUCAGCUUUUAAAGAUACGCCAGGCUCGGGGUCCAGAAAGCCUUCUUUAAUGAAUUUGUCCUGAUGUUAGAAAUGUUGUUGCUGAUGGUAGAAACCAAAAUACAUUAGGCAGGAAGAGAACAACCUACAUUUUUGUAGAAUUUAGAAGUAGUUGUUAGAGGUGAAAACCAUGCUUCGGGCACUUGGAGCUCUGUGAGCACUCGUAAAGGUGCUGGAACUCUCGAAUGAAAACAUCAGCUCACCUGCGUGGAUGAAGCAUGGCCUUGGGGUCAGACGGACCUGACUUUGCAUCUGGACUUGCCAGUUUACCCGAGCCAUGCAACUCCCAAGCUUAAUUUGGAAUCAUAAUGCGUGGGAAUCAUAAUGUCUAUCUCAUAGGGCCGUUGGAAGGAAUACGUUCUGGAGUGCCUGUAAACCACCUGAUCCUGUUCCUGGAACAUAGCACACAGCUACCAAAUGGUUGUUUCCCAUUUCCCUGAAAUCUAGUUGCGUCUAGAAAGAGCAAAACUCUGAAGAUGACCUGGUACUAAUAGUCGUGGUUUUGUUCAUUGUUCCAGCCCUUCUCAUGCAGGACACAUUUACGGAGGUCAGCGUGGGGGGUGCGUCUCUAUAUAUUAGGAUCAUCUGUUCAGAUCCAGAGGCCCAAUCCCAUCCGAAUGGGUUUCUGCAUUGUGUAGGCUUUCCUGAGUUUUUCUGGAAGGAUGCCCCCUGCCAUACACUUUGUAAAGAAAUCCGGAAAGGUCAGAGCAUUUAAAGCAAAACACUGUGUUAAAAAGUUAUUGUCCAUAGUAAAUGCAUUACCCUAAUUGAGAAUUUGAUAAUCCUGUAAGUACUUAGCCCUAUGCUACUUUAGAGUUGUUUUGUCUCAUUUUAGGCCCUGUUGACGUCUUUUGAUAAAACUGGUGACAGGUACACAGACUGGGGGAAGAAACACAGACUGGGUGGGCAUCGUGAGAUCCAGAUUAUAGCCUUCUGGUGUUUGCGGUAACAGGCUUUUGUAACCUUCUGUAUUAUCACUUAAUGUUCGCCGAACCUCGGUUGUCUCUGAGAUUCUGUGAUUGAAAUAUUCUACUUGACAAAAAUGGAUUGAAUGAAUGCCUACCCUGUGGCAGGGCUUUGAAUUCUAUAAAUAUUAAUAGAAAUCAGGCCUUGUUACUUUCAGAUAAUAACAGGUAAAUGCUCACAGCAUGGUGGAAAAGGAAAGCGAUAAUAAAGGCAAAAGGUUGCUGUCCUCUAAGAAAUUUUAUGCUAGUGGAAACAGCGUAUGGUAACAUCUUUUUAUGAUUAUUCCUGUCUUCUUUUCAGUUUGGUUGGAGGAAGAGAAGAUUAGAAAAAGGGGAUAGGAAGGAGCCAAAAUUAGUCUGAUUGUUAUUUGGGGAACAUGGGGGCAAACUGCCACCUGUAGCCUAAUAGAGAACAUUUCUGAGUAAGUAUCAUUUGAAGGAUAAUUUCAGAUAAAAAGGUUAUAUAAUAAUUAAAACAGUGGAAGACGUCAUGGAGUUCAAAGGGAUAAAUAUAAAUCAAAGAAAUGGGAGAUCAUGAACUUUUUUAUGGAAAGUAUUAGGGGGCUUUGUUCUUAGGAGGAAGCAGGGGACACAUAUGCUUUCAGAGAUGUUCUCGGAUAAUAAUUCUCAAGUGUGGUCCCCAAAUUUGCAGCAUCCGCAAAUCUGGGAACUUGUUAAGAAGGCAAACUCUCAAGCUUCAACCCAGACCUGGAUUGGAAACUCUGAGAGCAAGACCCAGUAACCUGUUUUCUUAAUAAGCUCUGCGUGAUACUGAUGCAUGCUGAAGUUUGAAAACCACUCUCCUAAGAAAAUAACUCUCAAGUGGGAAGGAGUGUUUGCCAUUUAUAACAGCAGUUUUAAUAUUUUAAUGUAAUCGUACCAAAUUUUCACACUUCCAACUUCAGACAGGAGAGUGGAACAGCAUCUCCAUGGAUGGAGAAGACUAUCUCAUCUACGUAUUGAUAAUUCCUCAGGAGUGGGUUGUAAACAUGAUGACGGGAGUAUGCGCAUGUCGCAUGUGUGUAGAGAGGAGGUGUUUAGUGAAAGGGGCCGGAGGCAUAGGAACCUUGAGCAGAAGCACCGUUUUAAGACGUGAAGAGCAUGGUUAUUUUUGCCACUCCCUCAUGGAAGCUAAAUUUGUAGUAGCAUGUCCUGUUCAAUGUGAUGAUCUUUUUAUACCGUUGAAGUUUCCGUAGAAAGUUGCUUUGCUGUUCAGUCAUUUCACCUGAAGAAAACCCGAGGGUAAACAUGGCCCACUGUCACUUGUACCACAUUCAUGACCAUGUGAUAAUACGAAAAAUUAUUUGAGAGCCAUCACUGAAGAUUAGGAUCAAUGAGUUGUUUUGCUUUAACUCUCUUAAGGAAAAUUUUUAUUAGAGAAAAUUUCAAGCAUACACAAAAGUAGAACAGUAUAAUAAUCUCACAUACCCAUCACCCACCUUAAACAUCUGUAACUUCUUUCUUCCACACUGAAAAUUCCAGGUCCCAAUAACCCAACGUAAGUACUCAUUGCUUUAUCCUGUGAUACUCAUAUAACUGUCUAAUAAUAAUUGUACCAAUGCUGUCACCAACACCAUGAUUACCGAAUACGGAGUUUAGUUGUGGUGGCGGUGGUGGUGGUCCUAGUUUUGCAGCUGUUUUUGUUCAUGGGUAUAUCCCUUGGGGGAUGUACAUGCCAAUAGUCGUUUUAAAACUUGUUUUUGUUUAUUUAUUUUUGAGAGAGAGAGAGAGAGAGAGAGAGAGACAGAGCAUAAGUGGGGAGGGGCAGAGAGAAAGGGAGACAGAAUCCAAAGCAGGCUCCAGGCUCUGAGCUGUCAGCACAGAGCCCAACGUAGGGCUCAAACUCACGAGCUGUGAGAUCAUGACCUGAGCCGAAGUCAGAUGUGUAACUGACUGAGCCACCCAGGCACCCUGGCCAAUAGAGGUUUUAAAGUCAGCCGAAAUCGUUCCUCUCUGUACAGCUUUCCCAACAAAUGGAUACUCCUUUGGGGAGCAUUUGUUCCACUUUGCUUUCAUUUUUUUUGGAAUUUUAAAAUCUUAAUUUUGUUUUAAAAUUAUGUAAGUUACUUUACAAAAUCAAAUCUACAGAAGUAUGUUCUGAGAAGUUCACCUUCUGUCUUCUCCAUCCUGUUUCUUCUCUUACCUAUUUAAGGAAUUUUGUUUGUUUCAGUUUUCAGUUUGUUCUUCCCAUGGUUUUUUGUUUUAACGAUAUAAACAAAUACAUGCACAUAUUUUUUGUCACCUCCUUCUUAAAUUGUAGACACUUUCUCUGUUUUUCACUUGACAGUGUAUCUUGACAGUUACUGCCUUAGCAGUGUAUAAAAAUUCAAUGAAUGUUUUUAAUGAUUUUUCUUAGGCUUCUAAACAGAAUACAUGAGACUUUAUACUGCUCUAGUACCUAAGUUAAAUAAUAUCCAAAUGAAACCCAACAUCUUUUUGGUCAAAGAAAAGAUAGGCGGAAUUACCCCAAAGCCUCAAGGUAGCCAGAGAAACAGUAGGCCAGUCAGAGGUUAGGAAUGGUCAGCCGUGCGAGCACAACAAAGUCCAGAAGCCCAACACUGGCCGUGAGAGUGCAUCCAGAAGAGAGGAUGCUUUGGCCGAUGGAGUUCAAAAACGCCGAAGACCAUCCCUAUUUGGAAAUGAACACAUCUAAUUCCCUUAGCCUGGUACCAUUAUAAAUUUGAUUCAUUUACUUCCCGUUGUGGAGUCUACAUUUCACCAGGCAAUUUCUGAUGAUAAUGUGCCUUCCUAUACAGAUCUGCCUACAGGAAGAAAAUAGGAUUAUUCAGUCCUCUUAAGUGUGCUGUUAAUAAAUUGGCAUUCUAGUUUUAUAUACUGGUCUCCUUUGUCCUGUCCAUGUGGUCUUUUCUGUAGGUGCAGGACAGUUUCUGAGCUUUCAAAGUUGUGAGGCCAGCCCUGGGCCCCAUUAGAUCCCACAAGGCAACAAAUGCCACCUCAUGUGACAUCUUCAGAGGCAACAAGGGAUUUUUCCUCUCCUAAUACUCAUUCUGCCAUUGGCUAAAUAUUCCGUGCCUACUGCUGUGACUCAAAACCAGCAUUCGUGGAGUGCUUAUUAUGGACCAAGUCCUAGGCCAAAUAUCUUACCUGCACUCACUCAUAACCCUGUGAGGAAGGUACUGUGGUGAUUCCUAUUCCACAGAUAAGGAAUCUGAGCAUCAGUAACUCCAUAAAUAACUGAAGUCACAAAUUCAGAAGGUGGGAGAGGCAAGCCAGGACUUAUGUGCAGUUCUUACCAACGUUCAAGCCUGCGUUCUUGUUUUUGAAUUGUUGUAAGAUAUACAUGUGAUCAGUCUUGCCAUCUUAACCAUCUUCAAGUGUACAGUUCAGAAGGGUUAAGUACUGUAUAUUCACAUCGAUGUGCCACGAAUCUCCGUAACUUUUUUUCCAGUAAAACUGAAACUCCAUUCCCAUUAAGCAACUCCUCAUUCACCACUAGCCCCAGCCCUUAGCCACCACCGUUCUGUUUCCUGUCUCAAUAAAUGUGACUACUCUGGGUGCCAUACCUUAUACAGGAGGAAUCAUACUAUACUUGUCAUUUUCUGACUGGCUUGUUUUACUUAGCAUAGUGUCCUCAAGGUUCAUCCACUGUGAACCAUGUCUCAGAAUUUCCUUCCUUUCGAAGGCUGAACAAUAGUCCAUUAUAUGUCUGCACCACAUGUUGUUUAUCUACCUAUCUGUUAGCGAACACUGGGGUUGCUUCCACAUUUUGGCUGUUGUGAAUAAUAACGUGGGUGUGAAUAUGGUUAUCCGAAUACUUCUUUGAGACCUUUUGAGUAUAUACCCAGAAGCAGAACUACUGUAUCAUAUGGUCAUCCUAUUUUUAGUAUUUUCCACAACAGCUGCACCAUUUUGCAUUCCUACUAACAGUGCACAAGGGUUUCUGCUUCUCCACGUCCUCACCAACACUGGUUAUUUUCUGGGUUUUUUGGGUCGUGGCCAUUCUGAUGGGCAUGAGGUCAGGCCUGGGUCUUUAAGCCCAGGCUCGUACCACCUUCCCUUUGGAGUUGUGAGUCUCACUGAUCACUUGUGGGCGGUAGUUUUCAUAUUCCAGUGCAGGCUCACACUGGAUCCAGAGAGGAAGAAAAUGGUCAGCGUUAACCAUCUUCCCUGUGUUCUGUGAAAGAUGGUAUUCAAGUUAUAAGUCUAUGUUAGGAAGACAGGAGAAUACCAACACUACCACCGCUUGACCAAGGGUAACUGGUUUCACUUCUGGUGUUCUUUCUAACAAAUCACUUGAGUCCUACCUUUUUUUAAAAAUUUUUUUUAAUGUUUAUUUAUUUUUGAGAGAGACGGAGCAUGAGCAGGGGAGGGCGUGGGAUAGAAAGAGAGGGAGACACAGAAUCUGAAGUAGUCUCCAGGCUCUGAGCUUUCAGCACAGAGCCCAUAGCGGGGCUCGAACUCAAAAACUGUGAGAUCAUGACCUGAGUUGAAGUCGGAAGUUUAACCGACUGAGCCACCCAGGCGCCCUGAAUCCUACCAUUACUAAGAUUGACACUUAUGAAGUCAGAGCCAUUUUGUGCCUGGGAGAAAAGAGAAAAGAAGAAAAUUCUCUGCCAUUUCUAAACUUCUAAGUAGUGCGUUUUAUUUCAAAGUUUUUCUCUUUCUGAGUUUAUUCCUGGUAGCAAAGGGUUGCCUUAAAGAAAGAAGAGGUAGGGUGGCUUUGUGAAAAGAGCUUGAGAUUUGGAGUCUGUCGUGUUUGGGCUCAGUCUGGGUUUACAUGUGCCUCUGCUCUGGUAGAGCUUCCUUGAAUCACCUUUUCUUCAUCCGUAAAAGGGACGUAAUUGGUUCACAGAGCAUUAAAUUAGAUACUGUGGACAGAGUGCCUGGUGCAUAGUAGGUAUAUUAAUAUUUGAUUAAGGGAUUAAGUGUAGUUUUAAAAAUCAGUGAUUUCCUGCCUCUGAAUUUUUUUUUAAUGUACUUUACUUCCAUUCUACAUUAUUGUACAGCAGUUAAGGACAUUGAUUAUGGGGGUGCCUGGGUGGCUCAGUCCAUUAAGCAUCUGACUUCCGGUCGGGUCAUGAUCUCGCAGUUCGUGGGUUUGAGCCCCGCGUCCAGCUCUGUGCUGACAGUUCGGAGCCUGGAGCCUGCUUUGGAUUCUGUGUCUUCCUCUCUCUCUGCCCCUCCCCUGCUCGCGCUCUGUGUCUCUCUUUAAAUAAAUGUUAAAAAAAUUUUAUAAAAAAAAAAAAAGAAUAUUGAUUCUGGAUUCUGAUUACCUGGGGUUGAAUCCUUGUUUUACCAUGUACAAGAAAUACGGCCUUGGGCAUAUUAUUCUGCCUCUCCCCACCUCCGCCGUCUCCUCUGUAAGCGGGGAUGAUGAUAGUACCUGUCAUAGGAUUUACAUAGAAAUGGUUUAACGGUCAGUAAAGGUUGGCUACUCUUCGUAUUAUCAUUAUUAAUUUGUGACACAUGCCGAGCAAUAAAGCAAUCAAUGAAGGUAAACAUUGCACGACCUUCUGUCACCGCAAAAGUUGUAAUCCUGAGCUGUGGAUUUCCUGCAAAAUGACGGAUAGAAAUGGACAAAUUCGGAGGCUUCUGCACCUAAUAAGAAUAACAACUCAACAGGAGAUUCAACAGCAAAUCGUGUAGCAUUGGCUGUUCCUCCUGACAGACAUUUCUUUCUCUUUAUGCCUCUUCAAGUUGCAGAGAGGGAAGGAGGCAAACCAUAAGAGACUCUUAAAUACUGAGAACAAACUGAGGGUUGAUGGGGGGUGAGAGAGAGGGGAAAGUGGGCAUUGAGGAGGGCACCUGUUGGGAUGAGCACUGGGCGUUGUAUGGAAACCAAUUUGACAAUAGAUUUUACGAAAAAUAAAUAAAAAAAUAAAGGAGAAUAUUCUAGAACAGAGAGCACAACCUACCCUUCUGUUUCUCACAAGUGAUGGAAGGCUGCCCCCGGGGUGCCUGGCUGCCACCUGUUUCUCAUCUGUUGGGACUUUGAUCCCAAUGAUGGAUUCACUUGAGCAGUUAGAUAGCUCAGCACCAACACAGCCGACUGCCCACGGAACGGAAGCAGAAGGGUGGCGUGGUUGGCCUUCGGUGCCCGACAACGGGCCAGCAGGAUAUUCAGGUGUCCUGAGUUUUAUGUACAAACUACGCUAUAUUUUCAGAGCUCUGACCCUUACAAAAGCACUCUUACAGUGCUUUCCUCUCCAUCUAACAUUCAUUUCCAAAACCACUGAAGUGAAAGGGUCUAUUAGUUCAGGGCCAGAUCUGAAAGCACAUGCAAACUGCAUUCAUGAGGUUAAGAAAUGGCUUAAUAAUUAAGUUAAAACAGUUGAAAGUGGGUCUAAUUUCAAACAGAUCAGCUAACCGUGUUAGACGAGAAUGAGGAUGUGUCCCUUCCUAUUUUCCCUUCCACCCCUCAGAUGUUGGCCCCAACCCCAAGCAGUUUUUCUGGUUUCUUUUUUUUUUUCUUUUUUCCUUCUUUUUAAACUUUAUAUAAGAUUGAAUUCUUCAACUGCCCAUAUGUUAAAUUGGCAUCACACGCAAUGAAAACCCUAGUAGGUUGGACAUUCAGUCCGUUUCUUUCAUAGUGUGUCGAACUAGUUUCUUUUGCAGACCCGUCUGGACGUUUUUGGGUCUCAGUCUAGAGACGCAGAUUUUAUCCCAUGCUGCUGAGCUGUGUGAAGUACAUUCCAGCUGAGCCGGUGUGGUUACGUCCGUUCAGGGCAUGUUCGGUAGGUCUGCGGUCCCUUCCGUGGGCCUGUUUGAGUGCCACCUUCAGACAGGAGGCUCAGCAGUUGGCUUGCAUUCCACUUGCCUCGCGCGGUUGCUGCUGUGGAGUGGCUCCUCCUGAGGCUCGAACCCGGGCUCGGUGAGGGCAACUGCAUGCGUCAGGGAGCCCGCUGUGCCUUCAUAACAAUAGUUCCUCCCAUUUGGUGAUCCUCUACCACGUGCGUGAUGGCAAGGCUUUUUCCCCGUAUUACCUCAGUAGUAUUUCUAGCCCGGGCCAGGGCACAGGGGCCAGCACACGUGGACGCUGCCGUGCACAGUGACCAAGAGCCACCACAGGGGCAGGCACUGGCCCGCCCUCCCGACCCACCGUCCACACCGUGGAAGGGAGGGGAAGGCACGGCGAGCUUGAGGUCGGAGGCAUCUGGGCAGACGCUCAGAGCAAGGAAGGGCUGAGGACAAGAGGAAAGGUUAGUACCCCCGAGAGGAGACUGGUCACACCUAACAACAUGCCGGUGAUGCCUGGCUUCUCACGGUGUGUUUCAACAUCAACUGACCGUAAUAUCAUCUAGGAUCGGACUAGAUAUCGGACAGGGAAAUAACAAAUGGGGCCCUGGCGAGGAGGGUUCCAGUCGGGGGGUUCUGGUAAUGCUGCUCUUCUGGUGUGACCCCUUGUAGGCCAGGGUUGGGGUGAGGGAGAGGGUCCCGUGUAGGUGUACUGGCUGCCUGUGCAAUGUCAUUGCUCUCAGGGUUAAAGUUUUAUGGAUGAUUUUUACCAGGUCCCCAGUGAAUUCAUCUAGAACAAAAGGUAUUCUUCAUCAUAAAAGCAUCAAAUGGAAAAAGCUUUCUUAUGAAAACCAAAGGGGUAUUUCAGCCACACCCAAACAUGAAAGGUCACGUAAGCCCCAUCUCCUGUCCCUGCUGACAGGGAGGGAGGGAGACUCCAGGAGGGUUUUAGCUCCUGUGAUGAUUGGAACUCAGGUAUCCCGAACUGCUCUCUCAUGCUCUCACUUUGACUACGUUACACUCCCUUCAGAUGUCUUUCCCGUUUUCCUUGGUCGGCCCUUAUCAGUGCCAGGCAUGACCAUGUGUCUCAGUUUGUCUGGGACCAUCUUGGUUUAUGCCUGUUGUCCUGAUGUGAUUAAUAACGGUCCCCUUUUUCCACUCCCCAAAAUGUCCUGGUUUGGAUGAUGAAUUAUGUGAUCAUCCUGUCAAUUUCUAAAGUAGACCCAGUACUGUGUAAGUAAGCCCUGCUUGGGGUGCAGAAGUCUGAGAUGUGGUCUCUUGCCCUCAAGGAGGAGAAAGUCUAGCUGGGAAGGGAAGAUACGUGCAUAUUCAACAAAGUGUGUAAUCUAUCAAGUGCUAAAUGAGAAAAAUUGGAAGAUAGGAAGCCUCUGAAGGUUGGAGGUAUCAGGGGAGGUGGGGGUCACGUUCUUUGUAGACAACAGAAGAGUGUUCCUCUAGUUUAAACAGGAAGGGGUCUGCAGAGGGGCACAGUUCCCAGGGCUCUUGGAAGGGCUGGCGAGUAGGUUCUGCUGGAAAGACAGAAACGACACCGAGAGCCACAUGGAAGCUGCCGGUGAGAAGCGUUCCCUCUGCCCCACCCUGCACCCGAAGGCGGGCGGACCCAGGCCCCGCCUGCUUCCCCGUGAAGCUUACCUCACACGCAGUGUCUCGCCACGUGGCACCUGAGCGUGGAGCCUGCCAAGCCUGCAGCCUAGGGACGGAGGAGGAUGGGAGAGGUUCCUUGGAAUCUGCAUGACUACGGCAGAACGCUCCGUGUGGAGGCCUGGCUGUGCGGGGAGGCUGUUCAAACAAUUUGGACUCCAGAGGGUUUCGCGGAUGUGGUGGGAUUGGAACUGGACUUGGGGGGCAGAGAGGACCUCAUCAGGCAAGUGAAGAUGGACGUUUUUCUCCAUGUGACAGGAACACCAGUCAGGUGACAAGGCGCAGGAACAAAUCUGGCCUCGUUUGGGCAUCCGUGAGCCGCUGUGGGCAGUUGGGAGGCUGCAGAAAGUGACAUUCGCUGUGAAGCGUAAGACCUCUGGGUUUGAAGUUGAAUAGAACUCAUCCCUAAUACGUGAGACAUACAGCCCACGGAACCAGCCCAUGAGAGGUUAGGCUUUGCUUCCGUAACACAUGAACUCGGAGAUCUCAGGCUUAACCUAGCAAAGUUCUCCUUCCUGCAUACCCUGCAACACAUCUAGUACCUUUUAGGGGGCAGUUCGCAAUCAGGGAUCGUCUGUAGCACACAGUCCUGGGACGCACGCAGGUUGCCUGCAAGCAGAGGAUGGCUGCGAGAGCCCAGCUUUUUCCUGCCUCAGCACAGGAAUCCCACAUGGCGUUUCUGUUCACAUCUACUGACCAGAAUACCCACAUGGCCCCACCUACUUCAAGAGUUUGGGAGGGACACCUGGGUGGCCCAGUCAGCUGAGCGUCCAGUUCUUGAUUUUGCCUCGUCAUGAUCCCAGCAUUCUGGGACGGAGCCCCCGUGCAGAACGUGCUUAGGAUUCUCUCUCUCUCCCUCCGCCCCUCCCCUGCUCACACUCGCUCAUGCAUGCUUUCUCUCUUAAAAAAAAAAAAAAUAAAUGUUUGAGAAAUACACACUUAUGAGUAAAUAAGGAGAAGAUAUGGGUGAAUACUAGAAGUUUCUACCAUGACCUGUUGGAAAGUUUUUUAAGCGUGAGCAUAACAGUAAAAGUCACCCAUGUGGGGCACCUGGGUGGCGCAGUCGGUUAAGCGUCCGACUUCAGCCAGGUCACGAUCUCGCGGUCCGUGAGUUCGAGCCCCGCGUCGGGCUCUGGGCUGACGGCUCGGAGCCUGGAGCCUGUUUCCGAUUCUGUGUCUCCCUCUCUCUCUGCCCCUCCCCCGUUCAUGCUCUGUCUCUCUCUGUCCCAAAAAUAAAUAAACGUUGAAAAAAAAAAAUUAAAAAAAAAAAAGUCACCCAUGUGAGGAAAAACGCCACCCCGUGUGUCCUGUGUACCCACCAGCCCCAGGCCCUAGCACAGCGCCUGGCACGUAGCUGGUGCUCAGUACGUAUUUGUUGAAUGAACUUGGCUUUCAGUGACAUGCAAGCUGGAAUGGAUAGUUUCUCGACCAAAGACAGGGAAGUUGAGAAUCCGUUACUUCAACUUAGGAUACCUCAACUAAGCCAGUUUAGUUCAGUGGCUAAAAAAAUUCUACUCAUGCCCCACAGCCUGAUCUUUGAAGUCAUCUGACAUCUCGAUAAACAGAUUGCAAAAGCCCCCUUUUAAACUGAUAACCAUCUUGCAAAUUUAAGUUCCUUCCAUGGAAAGUGUAGGGAUGAGUACUUUAGAGCCGGGCAUGCUGCUCACCACAGAUUUCAGUUUUCUUCCCAUUUACUUUCUUUUUUUUUUUUUUUUUUUUUUCAACGUUUAUUUAUUUUUGGGACAGAGAGAGACAGAGCAUGAACAGGGGAGGGGCAGAGAGAGAGGGAGACACAGAAUCGGAAACAGGCUCCAGGCUCUGAGCCAUGAGCCCAGAGCCUGACGCGGGGCUCGAACUCACGGACCGCGAGAUCGUGACCUGGCUGAAGUCGGACGCUUAACCGACUGCGCCACCCAGGCGCCCCCCCAUUUACUUUCUAAUGAUGAAACUGACAGCCUGUUUCUCUCGUCAUACUCAGAAUAUUGACUGUGAGAUGUGCCUCAAAUGAUAGAGCCAUGGAGAUCUCUGUUUUCUAAUGUAGUUUGAGGUGUUGUAAAUUUAAAGGGUUUUGUAGAAACAGAUUUUCUGCCCCUGUGUCUCCUCAAUGCAAUUCUAUAAAAUCACUGGUAAAUGUAAACAUUCGAGCCAUAUGUCAGGUCAACGCUUAUCUGGUAGGAAGUCCACCAAUAAAAAUAGGAUGCGGUGCCCUUGAGAUUUGCCACCACUCAACAGAGAAAUCUGAAGGACCACAAAAGCAAAGAAUCAUCGCAAAUGUAAUUUAUCAUGAUCAACACUUUCCUUCCAGAAGCUCCUGGCUCCCAGGGCUUCUUUCUUGCAGACAUCCAUUUUGAAAGAUCGAGUAUCUCUUAUGCACAUGAGCUUUGGAGUCAUACAGUGUGGAUUUGGACUCUUGGCUCUGUUCCUUAUUAACUGCAUGAUCCUUGGCUGGUCACUUACUCCUCCCUAGGUGUGUUUCCUCUUUUAUAAAUUGGGGGUAACGGAGUCUACUUGGUAGGGUGAUUUUGACAGAUGAGAUAAUGCGUGGAAAGCACUGAGCACCACCCAGCACAUAGGAAGUGACUGAUGGAUAUGCGGUGUGAAAUUGGGGGCCUGGUGACAGUCCGUGAAGAUUUAUCUGGGCCUAGUUAAUCAAGAUGCUCCAUGGGCAUGGGUUAUGUUUUGCCCAAAUCACGUAUGUACCAUGAGAAGAAGACUUGGUCGUUGGUCUCUUCAGACACAUAUAUCACCAGCGACAGCAUUUGUGAAGUCCGGUUGCCUAAAAUACUUCAUGAUGAUGAUUUAAGUUUCCCUUUUUCAUUGACAUUGAGUGGCUAUUUCUUUUCUCUUAUCCCGUCAGAUGAGGUCAGUUCCUCUGAGCAAUUACAGAACAUCUAUGGUCCAGGAUAGUGUUAUUUGCCAUAGAUCGUUUUCUUUUAGAUAUUCUUGUAGGAGGGAAUUUCCUCUUCUGUGUUGUACUAUUUUAUCUGAAAAUAAACACAAUCUGCCUAAUUGGUCUCCCUGUUUCUACCCUCUAUAUAAACUAGAUCGUGUCUCCCUUAUGCUUAAAACUAUCAAGGAUUCCAUAUGACCUAGCAUAUGUACCCCAAAAUGGAAAGCAGACAUUCAAGCCAAUGCUUGUACACCAAUAUUCAUAGCAGCAUUAUCCACAAUAAUCAAAAGGUGGAAAGAACCCCAGUGUCCAUCAGCAAAUGAAUGGAUAAACAAAAUGCGAUACAUACAUAUAAUGGAAAUUUAAUCAUCCAUAAAAAGAAACGAAUUUUCGAUACCACCGUGUGAAUGAACAAACCUUGAAAACUAUGCUAAGUGAAAAAGCCAGGCACAAUAGGAGAAAUGUUAUAUGAUUCCACUUAUAUGAAAGAUCUAGAAUAGGCAAAUUUAUGGAGGCGGAAAGUAGAUUAGAGGUUAUCAGGGGCAAGAGGUAGAAAUGGAGGUUAUUUCUUGUCUUUUUUUUAAAAUAUAAUUUAUUGUCAAAUUGGUUUCCAUACAAUACCCAGUGCUCAUCCCAACAAGUGCCCUCCUCAAUGCCCAUCACCCACUUUCCCCUCUCCGCACCCCCCAUCAACCUUCAGUUCGUUCUCUGUAUUUAAGAGUUUCUUACGGUUUGCCUCCCUCCCUCUCUCUUUGUAACUAUUUUUUCCCCUUCCCCUCCCCCAUGGUCUUCUGUUAAGUUUCUCAAGAUCCACAUAUGAGUGAAAACAUACAGUGUCUGUCUUUCUCUGACUGACUUAUUUGGGGAGUUAUUUCUUAUUGAUUACAGAGUCUCUGGAGGGAUGGGAAAGUUUUGGAGAUAGUGGUGAUGGAUGUACAAUGUGACAAGUAUAAUUAAUGCCACUGACUUGUGCACUUGAAAAUGAUUACAAUAAUGAAUUUUACAUUAUAUAUCUUACCAGAAUAAAAAAAAAUUUAAUGUUGAGUUUCCUCAUGCUCACAGUGGAAACAAAAGUGUCAAGUCCUAGUGUCUCGGCCCCACCAUUGGCUCUCUGACGCCAUCAUUGACCUUUCUCACCCUUGAAUGUUCUGGGCCAGCCACACUGGGUCUACAUGCUGAACACAUCAGCUCUUGAAUGUGGACACAUCAGCUCUACUACCUUAGGAGGACCUUUGCACUUGCUGGGCCCUCUUCCUGGAAAACACUUCUCUUAGAUGCCUAUGUGACCCAACCGUCCUCUCCUUCAUCAAGCGUCUGCUGAAAUACUGCCUUAUAAGUGAGUCCUUCCUGAUUAGCUCUCUAUAAAAUAGCUACCCCCACCAUUCUUACUCCAUUUUUCCCCAUGGAAAAUCUCACCAGCAGACACACCAAAUAUUUGUGUUUCUUUGUCUCCAGGUACUAAAAUGGAAACUCCAUCCGUAAGUGCUGAGAUAUUUUGCUUCAUUCAUGUCUUUGUAUUUAAUGUCUAGAACAGUGCAUGGCACGCCAUAGCAAAUGCCUAGGAGACGUCUAUUGAGUGAAUGCAUGAAUGUGUUUGUGUUGGAGAUAGACAUAGACAUCCUUACUAAAAAGGAUUGCAAGACCAAAUACCUGGUCAUCUUAUAUAUCAGUGAACUAUUGCCACUAUAAAUGCCUCAUGACACAACCUUAGAGCCACUAGGCUCACGUCAUCUGGGCUUGCUCAGACAUCUGCAGUGAGCUGUAAGGUGCCUAAGCAGCUCGGGGCUUCUGGACCCGACGGGUAAAGAUGGCUUCAUCUGGGACUCCUUGAGUGAAUCAGCUCUAUUCUGCAUGGCUCCUCCUUUAUCAGGCUAGCCUGGCGUCUUCUCAUGGUAAAGGCAGAGGAAGAAGAACAGAAAGCAGAAAUACAAAAGUACUUCUCAAGCCGGGGCAUGCAUCAUGUUUGAUAACAUCCCACUGGCCAAAGUAAGUCACAUGGACAAGACCAGGGAGAGCACUGUGAAGUGAUGUGGCAGAAGGCGCAGACACGGGGAGUGUGGAGAGUCGGGGCCGUUCAUGUAUUCAGUCUGCCGCGCCCUGUGAGGUCCUGGCCUGGGUGCUGCUUACCUUCUCAUCCUCUUUCUGUAGCCCCACCAGAAAUCACAUCCUGCUUUGACUCGAGAUCAACUUCUUCUAGUUCUCCAACUCAGUGUCUUGUUUUUCGGUUCUGGUAUUGGAAGGAUGGGGACUAGUAACGACACAGAGCAAAACAACCCUCAUUUUUCACACAGAGCCUCCAGGAUAGUAGAAGUUAGUAGAAGUUAAAGGUCUUCCCGUGGUCUUCUAUUAAGGAAACCUAAAGGACUCGAGAGUUUGGAUGGCGUCCUCUGAAGUGUACGUACCCAACAACGCAACAUCGUCAACCUUGGAGCAUGGGGUAGGCAGAAUGAAUAACUGUCUCCCAGAGCCGUCCAAGUCCUGACCUCUCUGUGAAUGUGUUAGGUCGCAUGCCCAGGAGGAGUAAGGUUGCAGAUGGAAUUAAAUUUGCUAAUCAGCCGGCCUUCAGAUAAAGAGAUUAUCCUGCAUUAUCCAGGUGGGCCCAGUAUAAUCCUGGGAGUCCCUACAAGUAGAAGGGCCGCAGGAGAAUCAGAGGUCAGAUCAUCAAGAAAGCUGCCUUUGAAGGUGUUGGGGGGAUAGGGGCAGGCAGAGGGCAUGAGCCAAGGAAUGCAGGCUGGAAAAGGCAAGGAAGUGGACUCUCCCCUAGUGCCCCUGGAAGUUGGACAGCAUAUGAGACCCACGUUGGAUUCCUGAGCUCCAGAACUGUAAAAUGAUAAAUUUGUGUCGUUUUAGCCAUUCGUUUUCAGUUAUGUGUUAACGGCAGUGACAGGAAACGAAUACAGGGACUGACUUUAUCCUGUGGAAUCCAAGCAAAAAGUGAGAAGAUGUGUACUGGCUACUGAGAGGCUGUUUACGUCUCCUCUGUUUUCCACAUGGGCCAGGAAUUUUUUAAGAGGUGCGGGAAACACCUUCGCAGUGGAGAGGUGGAACAGGAGAAACGCUCAGGGGGAGAGGUAGGUUGUUGCUGGGGCCCAUCAGAGAAAAGGAGGAGGUUGUGAGGGAGACACUUAGCUCACGUUCUCAGGAAGUCCUGGCCCCACAGCUCUGAGCCCCACCUCCUGGGGCUGCUUUUUCUACUUAGACCAACGUUUUCUCUUCCCCCGUCUGUAGCCCAAACCCUGCUAGAGCUCCUAACAUAACGUGGAAGCCAGGACGGAGACUGGAGUUUGGCAGGUACAUGCAGUGGUUGCCCUGGUCUGAGCAACGCACCUUGGAGCUGAGUCGGUGGAUUGUCAGCUGUGUGUUGCUUCCUCUUUUCCUGAUAACACACUGCUGUGUCCCGAAGUAGCCUUGUUCGUGUACGUCAUCACCAGCGGCAUGUCGCGGGGCUCUGGGGUCUCCACAUCCUCACCCACAUUUGAUACUGACAGGCUUUUUACCUUUGACAAUCUAGUGUCUGUGAAUCAGUGUCUCAUUGUUUUUAACUUGUAUUUCUCUAAUUACAAAUGAGGCUGGCAUAUUUGUAUACAUUUGUUGGAUUCCUUUAUUUAUUUAGAUUUCCUCUUCAAUAAGGAGUCUGUGUAAGUCUGUUGUCCAUUUUCUUCUGUUGAAUUAAUACCUUACUGAUUUUUAGGAUUUCUUUAUAUUAUAAAAGUCUAAAAGUGAGCUAUCUGUGAAGCACGUGUCUUUUCUUAGUUUGUGGCUUGUCUUUUAACCUCUCUGUUGUGCCUUUAGAAUUUCAUGUAUUUUUGUGAUCUAAGAACUAUUUCCCUGCCUUGGGGGUUAGAAAGGUUUUCUGCCCAUAUUACCUACAUGUUUCUAGUUUUGCCUUUCCCAGGUAAAUAAUCUACCUGGAAUUGAUUUUUAAGGAUGGUAGGUAGGGGUCAAAUUUCAUUAUUUUCUGUGUGUAUAAUCAGUUGUUCCAGAAAAUUGUAUUGAAAGUCCAUCUUUCCUAGUGGUCUGAAAUGCCUCUGUUAUAAAAAUCACGUCUCAACACACAUGUGAAUCAGUUUCUAGCCCUCCACCGGGCAUCUUGUUAUGUUAGUUGUCUAUUGCCGUGUGACAAAUUACCUCAAAAAUUAGCACAUAAAACAAACAUUUAUCGUCUCAGAGCUUCUGUGGGUUAGAAAUCUGGGCACAGCUCAACUAGGUGCCUCUGACUCAUUGCCUAUGAUGAGGCUGCCGUUGGGGGUGUUGACCAGGAGGGUAGCCUUAACUGGAAGGUCAGCUGAGGGAAUACCUGCCUCUAAGUUCAUUCGUGCGGUGGUGGCGAUUCCGUUUCCCAUGGGUUGUGAGACUGAGAUCUUGGUCCUUGGUGGCUGUUGGUCAGAGGUCUCCUUCAGUGUCUUCUCACGCGGGCUUCAGCGUAGGGCGGCUCACAACAUAGCAGCCGGCUUUCCUCAGAGCAAGCCAGCAGAGAGUGAAAAACAUGGAGGCCACAGGUUUUUGUAAUCUAACUUCAGAAGUGGAAGCCCAUCAUUUAUGUCAAGUGCCGUUAAUUAGAAGCAAGUCAGAUUCAGCUCAGAGUCAAGGGGAAAGGGAAGAGUUACACAAGGAUGUGAACGCCCCGAGGCGAAGAUCACUGGGAGCCAUCUUGGAGGUUGCCCGCCACACUUGUAUAGUGAUAUAAAUAAUGAAGUCUCUUCCUAUUAAUCUUUGCUGUUAUCUUUUUUUUUAAAGUUUUUUUUUUCAACGUUUAUUUAUUUUUGGGACAGAGAGAGACAGAGCAUGAACGGGGGAGGGGCAGAGAGAGAGAGACACAGAAUCGGAAACAGGCUCCAGGCUCCGAGCCAUCAGCCCAGAGCCCGACGCGGGGCUCGAACUCACGGACCGUGAGAUCGUGACCUGGCUGAAGUCGGACGCUUAACCGACUGCGCCACCCAGGCGCCCCUCUUCGCUGUUAAGUGAAAUUUGGUAGGGCUGUUGUUUUUAACUUUUUGAUAACUUUCCAUAUUCAAAAUAGAAAGGGGAAAUGAGAAUGCCUUGGAAUGGAUUUUGGAACUUUGGAAGUGAGAGGAAAAUGGAGAUGUGAACUUUGUUCAGAUGGCUGAGUUUAAAUACAUACCAUGUAAUUUUUCUUAACUAGUUUAUCUGCAUCUUCCAAGCUGAAUCACCAUCAUGGUGAUCUCUAGGAAACGUUUUACGUGUUAGCUCAUCGUUUACGAGAUUCUUUGAGACAGAACAAAGCGCCUGCCAUCGACUUUAUUCCUUUCUUGCAGUUCAUGGAACUCACUGAUGCCCAAACCAUAUUCCCAGUAUCACCGAAGGUGCUUCUUAGAACAGGGGAGGGUUGCAUGGUGAGAACAGUUAGCAUCACACACGACUUCUUUGUCAUUUUAAACACAAAUAUCUGUCAACACACUCUCACGGUUACCUAGUGGGAAGAAAUCCUUAGGAGUAAUUAUUUUGAGUUGAAUUGCUUGCUUAAAGAUUAACUUUCAUACACCUGAUUGUUCCGUUUGUCAACACCCUCGUUCACGGCUUCCAGAGUACACUCCGUGGAAGGAGGGUUGGUUUGUGUUGUAGCUUAAGAGAUGAUUGGGGGCACCUGGGUGGCUCAGUCAGUUGAGCGUCCGACUUCGGCUCAGGUCAUGAUCUCGUGGUUUGUGAGGUCCAGCCCUGCAUUGGGCUCUGUGCUCUCAGCUUAGAGCCUGGAGCCCACUUCGAAUUUGGUGUCUCCCUCUCUCUCUGCUUCCCCCCACCCAUGCUGUCUCUCUCUCUCUCUCUCUCCUUCAAAAAAUAAAUAAAAACAUAAGGAAGUCUUUCUGAUCUUUUUUUUUUUUUUUAUCAGUAAAGCAUCUGGGUCCAAUUCACCUGUCCUGUCUUCAGCUUUGAUACACCUGUGGGGCAGCCUGAGUUUGCAUGGAUUCUGAUUUCUAGCCAGUAUUUCAGAAUGGAGGGGUUCAGACUUCCACCAUCGUCAUGAACAUUGUGAUUACUGACUUCAUGAUUCUAAGGGCGCCUCUUGGUUCCCUCUUUUUUUCCACCCCCGUGUGUGUGUGUGUGUGUGUGUGUGUGUACUUCUGUAUACAUCUGUGGCUGAUACUUAGUUAACAAAAGAGAGACCUACAUAUAUGUUCUAGAGUAAUUGCCAAAUCGUGACAUUGUAAAUAAAUAGCUUGGUUUUUAAGUGUGGUGAGUAAGAAAAUCUUCUCACGAUGAAUAAGAAGUAAAACUGUAAGUGUCUCUCCCGCUAAGAUGCCAGACCUCAGAUAACAUACCUUUUGGCAAAGCUUGCAACCUCUUGGUUUUUGUAGAACUAAAGAGGUUAUAUGUAAACAAAUGACAAACACCACUGUUAGCCAAGGCUUUUAUACUGUGUUAUUCUAGAUCAGAUUCUUCUGCCCUCACUUCACCCACUGAUUUCGGGAAGUGUAACAAGCCAGAAUUAGGCAAGUGUAAGGUAUUCAAAUGGAAACUGGGUGCUAAGUGAAAGGUUGGGAACUUUAAAGAAGAUGACAGAAUUCAGCUAGAACCCCACAACCGUAGGGCUGAGAAGGAAUUACAAAGUCUGGGCAGCCACCUGUAUGCAUUCCUUAUUUUCAGGGACCGGGGCAACAGUUUACAUUGGAGAUACUUACAUUAAGAGGUGCUUCCUGGGGUGCCUGGGUGGCUCAGCCGGUUAAGCAUCCGACUUCAGCUCAGGUCACGGUCUUGCUGUUCAUGGGUUCGCACUCAGUGUUGGGCUCUGUGCUCACAGCUCAGAGCCUGGAGCCUGCUUUGGAUUCUGUGUCUCCCUCUCCCCCCCCCCCCCCCCCCCCCCCGCCCCUCUUCCCCUUGCCCGCUCACACUCUGUCUCUCUCUUGAAAGUAUUAAAAAAAAUUUUUAAGAGGUGCUUCCUUAAGUUUGUAUUUUGGAAUUAAAAGACAAUCAUGAUAGAGAGAACUUUCAGAUAUGAAGAUGAUUUUGUACUUAAAGUAAUCUUUACAGAAUCAGAUUUUGAGGUUCUUUUCUACAGUAUAUUGCACCGCAUCAUGUAUAUUUUAACGCGAUUUGCUUGCAUUGAUCACAUCUUUGGUUUCGAUAGAUUUUCUGCAUAGGCCGUAUGUUCAGGCUCAGUUGGAAAAAAACAAGAAGGUGCUUCUAAGCUCUAAUUUAUCUUGAGUUAUGAGCCAUCAAACAUUUUUUCCUUCAUCCCUGUUAACUUCCACUUGGAGCACUCACAGUGCCUUUGAGCCAUGAGAAAAAUUUACACAUAAUAUUUUGAAUCCAUUAAAAGAAGUUCAGAGCUUAAGAGUUGUUUUCGUAUCUCUCGAGUCGGAUGAAUUACGAUCUCACAGAAAAUAAUAAUUAGGUGAUGGGUGGCUGCUGUGCUUUGAUUUUUGGUAUGAUCAUCCCUUUCUUUCAUUUGCCUCAGUUCAAGCCAGGGGUUUGGACACCCUGAAAGAGGGGAGUCACCCAGACCAAGCAGAGGCUCAUCAGAGCUCUCCCUUUGCUGAACGUCAAGGCAACAUUAUUCAGAAUAUAGUCUGAAAUGCAUUUGGUCAUACAGUACAUAGUUUAAUAAUGUAUCUUUGGCCCUAUUCGCAAAGCCUCAUAUUUACUCUGCUGUCACCAAAACAAGAUAGAAAACAAGAUUGUAGUGAUUUUGUGUGUGUGUGUGGGCAUGUUCUGGUUUACGAUUUUCCCUUUGCGAUUUUAAUGACCUGAUAGCAAUGACACAUUUGAGGUGAGGGGGUGUGGGGAAAGUCAUGUAAGAAUAAUAUCUGAUUCAGAAUUGCCCGUGCCCAAAAGUGCUACAGGAAGGCUGACAGUACUGUGCUCUCAUCAUGUAACUCUGUGACAGAAGUGUUAAAAAUGUAAAUAGUCUCCCCCAAAUAAAUGAACAGGUGUAAUUGAUCCCAGGUUUAAUUUGUGGAUCCAGCUACAGGCCAGUGUACUGAUGGAGUAUGCAUAUAAUAUUCUUUACAGACUUCAGGAACUAGAGAAUACAAAGACCUUUGGUUCGGAGAUAAUCGGGGACUCAGAACGAUAGGGUAUCAAGAUGCUCCCAGUUUGAGGCAUUGUGUGGAGGAGCAGUGGAGAGAGGUAGCUUGGCACCCGUCAUCCACUGUAUGUCCUCGUAUCUGGUGAUGACACGGGGCUCGGAGGGGAGGGUGUCUGUCAGUCGGAGGAAGGGAGCUGGCACGUGGAGGGCACCCUGGCAAUACCUGCAGGUGUCAGGGACAGAAGAACUCCCUUCGACGCUGCGCUGCAAGAUGGGAAGACAGGUGGCAAGUCUCUUACAGGGGUGUCUUUUAUUUGAGCAGAACCAGACCAACUGUUCCUCAUUAAAACACAUUUUGCAGCACGUCCUAAUGUGAGCAGAUCGUGUGUGUGUGUGUGUGUGUGUGUGCGUGUAUGUGUGCGUGCGUGUGUGUGUGUGUGUGCGCGCGUUCAGAGAAAAUUCAGCAAGGUGCCAUCUACAGGUCACACUUGAAGAAUCUCAGCAUGUGGUUCAGAACCGUAAGACAGGUAGCAUGAAACGCCUCUAUGAGACGGGAGGCUGGCUUUCCUGGAAUGGCCAUCUGUAGAGACACAAAAUGUCACCAGUAUCUCCAUGAGAUGCAGUAGUAAGCAAAAUGGAUGAAGUCUGCCGGGUUGGAGUCUUGACCCAGACCGUCAUUUUCUGUGGAGCGCUUGGUUUUUCUUCCCAUCGCAUUAUAAGGGCACCUGCGCUGCAUUACGACCAAUGCUAAAUUCACCAUGACCGAAGCCAGGCCUCUCCUCUGCUUCGCCGGUAUACCUGCUCUGUGUAAAUUGGGCAAGCCGGGAUGAAGUCCUGUGAACAGCUUCCCUGGGAAUUGGGGAGGAAGAAAAGAAUGCAUACGGAAUACUCACAGUCCUGCCGGCCACAUGGUGACCAAUGCAUAAACGUUUCUCCUUCUACUUAGUGUUUCUAUGUAGAGGCUGUCAUCCCCCUGACCUCCUGGAUCCUCAUGCUUCUGGUUCUGUGGUCAUAUGUAUUAAUUUAUAAAUAUUUUUGAUAAAGAGGAGGAAAUGCAGGAGAGGCCUCAGAACAGCACGACUUUCCAUUGGAAGGCCAAGCCCACUCAGCUCCCAAGAAAAGGACAGGAUGUUUGCAUCUGUAUAAAAAUAUAAAUAUAGAAUGCAAAGGAACACAAGUGUCUUUUCAGAGAACAUUAAUCAACUACGUCCUUCAGGUCCUUCUCUCUUUCAGCUGUAAGAGCCACGAGUAGGACCAACGUGGUGGCUUCACAGGUCUGUGUUGGCAGAAGGAAAAGACCUCAGCAGAGGCUGAGUCCUGGAGCCCCCCUCUUCCUCCUCCAGGAAGCUUCACGGCCAGCCAGCCAUGAAGGGAGGUGCCCUGCACCCCUCUUCCCUGUAAACGUGGACUGCACUCUCUCGUGCAGCCAUUCGGCACUGCCUGCACUGAGCUCACCUGGUGGGAUGAGAAAAUGGGGAUUCACACGUGCCAGGAGUGGUGAGCACAAUAAUGUACACACACGCGCACACACAACAACCCACGUCCUGAUCCCAGCAGCCUGUGAAUGUUGCCUGACAUGGCAAAAGGGACUUCAGGUAUGGGAUUCAAUUAAAGGUGGUGAUGGAGAAAUUAUCCUGGAUUAUCCCCAUGGCCCAAUGUAGAUCACAAGGAUCCUCAUCGAAAAGCCGAUACUACUGGCUUUGGAAAUGGAGGGAAGAGGCCACAAGUCAACGGAUACAGGCCGCCUCUAGAAGCUAGGUAGAGAGCAAGGAAACCAGCGCCCCUCCCCGUCAACCCCCCAGAACCGCCAGAACAACGCAGCUCUGCUGACAUCUUGAUUUUAGAAUCGCUGACCUCCAGAAUUGCAAGAGAAUGAAUGUUACUAAAACCUGUGGUGCCUGGGGGGCUCAGUCAGUUAAGCAUCCGAUUUCGGCUCAGGUCAUGAUCUCGCCGUUCGUGAGUUUGAGCCCUGCACCAGGCUCUGUGCUGACAGCUCAGGGCCUGGAGCCUGCUUCAGAUUCCGUGGCUCCCACUCUCCCUGCCCCUCCCCUGCUCGCGCUGUCUUUCUCUCUCAAAAAUAAAUAAAAACAUUAAAAAAAAAAAACACCUGAGGUUUGGGGGCACCUGGGUGGCUCAGUCGGUUGAGUGUCCAACUCUUGAUUUCGGCUCAGGCCAUGAUCUCAAGGUUUGUGGGUUCGAGCCCCAUGUCAGGUUCUGAGCUAAGCAUGGAGCCUGCUUAAGAUUCUCUCUCUCCCUCUGUCUCUACCCCUCCCCAGCUUGCUGUCUCUGUCUCUGUCUCAAAUAAACUUAAAAAACUUUUUUAAACCUGAGGUUUGCGGUAAUUUAUUCAAGUAGCAAUAGAAAGCUAAUAUACCACACUCCUUCUCCACUGGUAAGUUUUUCCCCAUUGCUACUAUUUUAUAUUUAUGCUGUGUGUAUAGAUAAUGUUUGACCCCCUGUUCCAUUUACCCAAGAAUCUUAUAAAUACAAGAACAGGCACAUGGCACUUUGUAUGGAAGACUGUCUGCACCCGUAUAAAAUGUGAAUCCCCAGCACUGAGGAAGAGGUAGAAAUGCAAAUACUCCUUCAGCUAGCACUGCCCCCCCUCCAUGCUGGGCCAGGGUGCAAUUGGAGAGGCCCCUUUCAAGGAGUAUACACAGGAUCACGCAGGAGUAGAGAGGUGCCACUGACGGGUGCCAUGGUGAGGGCCAGCCAGCAGGAUACCCAGCCCCACAGAGGGAAAGACCUGAGUCCUCUGUCCUCUGGAGUGGGGCGAUGGUUGAGAGAGCUUUUCCUACAGGAGGUCCUGUCUGACGGGGCCCUGGGAGAACAAUAAGGAGGCAGGGGGAAGACCGUGGGUGGGGGGGAGCUGGCUGGUUCAGGCUGGGCACAGAGCAAGGGCAAGAAGGUUGUAUGUACCUCUGUGGGAUCGACAGUGACUUUUUUUCCCUCGUUUUUAGAUUCUUUGAAAAAAAAGUUUACGACAAAACUAAAUAUCAAAGGAGAAAGCAGAUGUAAAAAUGGGCCCCUGGCACAUCUGAUGGCUGAAUCCCGUGUCAUAAAUUGUGGAAUUCGAGUUUCUUUUCAUGUAUGAGAUGGUUUUAGUUAAGAGCCGUUCCAGAAGGCUCAUUCCACAGAGUAAGAGCCCAGAGGGGAAAAGAUGCCGGAGCAAGCGAGGCACAGUCCCUCUCUUGUGGGUGAGUGCUUGAGGAUGGUACUCGGGGCCGCACGUGUCCGUCUCACUUGGUACUUUUCUCAGUGCUGGGGAGGCUCUGGCCUUCCCCACGUCCCAAGUCCCACUGCUGGGCUGGGGUAAAAUAGCCCUUUCUCCAGACCUUCUGUAUCCCAGGCAUCCACCAGGGCGCUGGGUGUGGUAUUUUCCCCCCUUUCCACAUCACCUAAAGGUAGAUACUGAGAUACCUUUGCCUCAUAGGAGAGGUAGCAAGGCUUAGAGAGUUUCCACUGCUUGCCCAAGGUCUCACAGCUGCUAAGUGUCUGAAUUUGGAUUCGGUUUCUGCCCUGUCAGAAUUCGAAACCCAUGCUCCUUCGUUACACACCGUGUGUCCCCUGAUGAUGCGUAAGGGACAAAAGUAGCAUAAAUCAAUUAAUCGUAUUUGAGAAAUAGAUAACAUAGUGACCUUAUCAUUUUACAAAGAGAACAUCUUGAGGCAGCUUGGUAUUUAGAACUGCAAACUACCACAGAAUAUUGUUAAUCUUGAGUUUUAUGUGCUCAAAAACUGAAUAUACAAAUCUCAUUCGAUCCCCGUAACAACCCCGUGAUGUGAAAAUACUAAUAGUACCUCCGUUUUUUUAGGUGAUUUUAUGUGGAAACAGAGAGGAUGAAUCAUUUGUCCCCAAAUCCUCCAGUAGAGAUGGGAUUAGAGUCUGGGACCAGCGUACUUCCUGUCCCCAGAACUGGUGUCAUUUGACAUUGGUGCGUGCAGUGUGACCGUGUGUGGGGGUCUCUCCCUUCCCUAGCAAUGCCUGGGUAACCGCCCAAGAAGGGGAUAAUUCAGGAUGGACUGUUGUCACCAUCUGACUAGACUGAGUUUUGUCUCUAAAGCCUUCGUUUAUCUCCACCCGGUUGAUCUGAUCUGUAAAGCUCCUGAACAUCAACGUUCUUUUUGUUUGGCUUCGUUUUCAGAAUAUGUACUUGGUUCUACAUUCACAGAUUUCUUACAUUAAUAGGAUUUAACAAACUAGACUUUUGAAAACUAGUAGGAUACGUUAAGAAUUAGCAAGUAUAGGAGCACCUGGGUGGCUCAGUCGGCGAAGCAUCUGAUUCUUGAUUUUGGCUCAGGUCAUGAUCUUGCAGUUCGUGGGUUCGGGCCCCACAUCAGGCUCUGUGCUGACAGCUCAGAGCCUGCUUGGGAUUCUCUCUCUUUCUGCCCUGCCCCCCCCCCCAAUAAAUAAAUAAAAACUAAAAAAAAAAAAGAAAGAAUUAGCAACAUGUUUAGAAAUUAAUCAAGGAAGCAGUGAGAUUUACAAGGGGGGGAAAGAGCCCAUGUUAAUCCAAGUUAACACUUUCUCAGAGUUGUCCUUAGUUUGUUAUAACUGGAUAAAUAUAAGGAUCUUUAUUGAACAAAGGUCACAUCCUACCUCCUUUCAAAUUUCUGUUUCAAAAAAGGCAUUUGUAAGUGGAGUUUUAUUUCUUAAAAAGUGUAAGUUUGAGAGUUGGUGUUUGUUUAGUUUUAAUAUGCAGUAAAAUUUCUCAUAUUGGGUGCGUUAUAGUUAGAGGGAAGUGUGUCUUGAACUUCAAGAAUUAAUAAGCUUUGGUAAUAAUGUUGUUUUAAAGAUUUAGUUCUUUUUAUUUUUUUUGGAGAGUGAGCAAGGUGGGGAGGGGGCAGAGGAAGGGAGGGGGAGAGAGACAGAGGGAGAGGGGGGGAGAGGAAGGGGGAGAGAGAGAGAAUCUUAAGUAGGCUCCACACUCAGUGCGGAGCCCGACGUGGGACUCAAGUUCACAACCCUGAGAUCGUGACCUGAGCCAAAAUGAAGAGUGAGACACUCAACCAACUGAGCCACCCAGGAGCCCCACUGACUUUUGGCAGUAAUGUUAAAGAAGUUUAGGGAGGAAUGGGGCGCCUGGGUGGCUCAGUCGGUUAAGCAUCUGACUUCAUCUCAGGUCAUGAUCUCAUGGUUUGUGAGUUCGAGCCCCACAUCAGGCUCUGUGCUGACAGCUCGGAGCCUGAAGCCUGCUUUGGAUUCUGUGUCUUCCCUCUCUGUCGUGCUUCCUUUCCCUUCUCCUGCUUGUGCUCUGUCUCUCAAAAAAAUAAUAAUAAUAAUAAUAAUAAACAUUAAAAAAAAUGUUUUUUUUAAAAGAAGUUUAGGGAGGGUUGGAGCCUUCUGUCUACUUUCCAGAACUAAUGACCAUACUAACUUUUUCUCUAAGUCACUUACACGCAUUGUUCUCUGCGUGCAGUCGUGCACGCGCACACACGUAAACUUUUACCUCACGAUUGGGUAUUGAUCGUCACCUCACCUAUAAGCACUUUUUAUUUUAACUGCGUGCUAGGAAUGCCGUGUUAUUUCCUACUCGUGAAUGCUCCUUCUCACUGUGUAGAGGUCUGCUGUGUUUGAGCAUCUUGGACUUGAUGAGAAAGUCCUUCUGUUUCCUGUAUUUUCAAGUUUCUUUUCUUUCGGUGCCACAGCAAUAGUGACAGCUGAAAUACGCAGAGCUUGCUGCCUGCUGAUUACUGUCUUCUGAGAAACCUUUUUUGUUUUCAACCUUAUAUUUAAAAAUACAUCAUCGGACUCUUUUAAUCAAGGUCUUGAAUCGGUAAAAGGUGAAGACAAUAAAAGACGCACAGUGCGGUAGACAGACUAAAUCUUCCUUCUCCUGCUGUGUUUUGAUCUGAGGGAGACUGGCAGGUGAGGUGGGCUUCCUGGAGCUCGUGUGCGAUUCUGUGGUGCAGACGUGGCCACUAGGAACAGGAGGGCGGCCUGUCACCAGAGCACUUUAUAUUCUGGUGUGUUUGGUAUGUGAUGGGGGUGUUGGGGGGAGGGGGUUGAGUAAUACCCAGGGGGAAAAAUGGCUAUGUUGACUACAACUACAGCUGACCCACUAUGGUCGUUUAAUAAGUAACUUUCAUAUUUUGAGCAAUUUUAUGGCAAAUGAGUUAGAAGAAGAAGAAAUGUCGUGAAACUGUCAGAAGCCGAGGGUUUUUUUUCAGGCUGAGAGCACAGGCACGUUACCUGCACUGCAGCUUUGUAAAGCAGAAUGUUUUAUAAGCUCAACUAAAUGCGUAAGGCUUUAAGACGCACCUCGCCCUGCCCAGGUCAGCCUGACCCCUGCCCCAGCUGGCAGCAGCGGUCACCAAGUGACAGCUCCUUGAAUGGCAGGUGCAGCACCAAGGUCCAGCAUUCAGAGCCUGGGGUGGAACAGAGGUGGGUAUUUCUAGAAGCUGGGAGAGGUUUCGUUUCAGAGCCUCUCUUUGAGGGCCCCCUUCCAGGGCCCUGUACUUAAUUUUGUAUUCAUAUUUUUUUCUUAGAAAGCUUCCGUCUCUGUGUUAUCCAGAUCUACUCCUGGGUGAGGGUGUCUGUGAUCCUCCUGAGGUCAUACAGCGUGAAGCGUGACGGGGGGCUGCGUGCAGGUGUGCACGGGGACCUCCACAUUUCUCUGGGGGAACGGUCUGUAGUCUUAGUUAUGGUCUUCUAAACCCAAACUGAAGAAGCGUUGAUUUAAUGUCUAGAGGCGAGGUUUUAGGAUUCGUGUAGAUUAGUUCCCUGAACACAUCAUAGGCCACGUCGGUUACCAGGGACACGGAAAGGCAUCUUUCUGACCGGUUGGAUCUCAUCUGGAUUACACACCCCCCAUUCAUUCAUUCAUUCAUUCAUUCAUUCAUUCAUUCACUGAUUCACUGCUAAACAUUUACUGAGUCCCUGCUCUAUACCUGUAGUUGUGCAGUUUCAAGAGGCCAGAGGUGAGUUAGACAGCCUCCCUUCGUUGGAAGAAGUCCCAUUGUUGAUGUCAUUGUAGUGCAUCCAUAUGAGUGCUGUCCUUGAGAUAGAUGACUUUUAUUUUUUUUUUAUUUAAUUUCAGUUUUAUUACUUUACUUUUAUUUUUUUUAAUGUUUAGUUUUUGAGACAGAGUGUGAGUGGUGGAGGGGCAGACAGAGGGGGAGACACAGAAUCCGAAGCAGCCUCCAGGCUCCAAGCUGUCAGCACAGAGCCCGAUGCGGGGCUCGAACCCACGAAUUGUGAGAUCAUGACCCAGUUGAAGUCAGACACUCAACUGACUGAGCCACCCAGGCGCCCCAAGACUACUUUUAGUCAAAAUAAAAGUUUGUCCACAGGUUCUUAACCCUAGCACAUCACACAGAAAGCCGGAUGCACAAGAGGAUGGUCUUCUGGGGUGCAGGCAGGUUUGGGUGCACCUCUGUGCUCUGGCCGCCGCCCCCACUGCCUCGGGGGAGGAGAGCUCCAUCUUUUGGGGUGCACGUCCCUUGUUGAGGGACGGACCACGCAGGGCAUCAGCCCAGGUACCUAUGGGGCGCCGAAGUAAAUAGCGAUUCGACUGCCAUUGGGUCGAGAGAUUUAUCCUUGUGGCUAACAGUUUCGGUGACUUUGCAAUUGGCCUCCUACAGUCAAAGCAAGAAUUGUUGCACAUCCAUCACAUGGAAGUAUUAGGCAGUGGAGGCUGGAUUGUAAAGGUGAUUUUUUAUUUCCCCAUUCCUAGUCUUGGCACCUCUCAUUAACUCAUCUGAACACAGGUCCUGUUGGUUCUCCACCCAAAGUCCACCGUCCAUCCUAUCCAUGCCUCCUGCCAGCAUCCUAACGAAGGUGUCCGUCACCUCCCACCUCAGCUUGUCACUGGACCCUCUCCUCUCGUUCUCUCCCCUCCCUUCCACAGACCCUGCCCAUUCCUGCCUCUGUUCCUUUCCGGAACGUGCGGUUCCAGUGCCUCUGCUGGCCCAGCUGCAGCCCGCACUUCCCACGCAGAGGACGAAGGUGUCAGCAGGGGGUUCUUGGGGAGCUUGGGAGGAAAGAAUAAGCAGAAUAAUGUGUGCUUCUGUGUAUUUCUCCACGCGUUCUUCCACGGACAUGCCUUAUGCUGUCCUGCCUCUGGGUCGCCCCCUCCUCCCCCUACCUUGUUCCUCCCACCCAUGCUCUUCUUCCCCACAUCCUUCCCCUCCUCCCCUGCCCCCACCCCCUCCCUCAAAAUGUUGUUUCACGUUUCAGAAGGGGAGGCACCGAUUCUAAAGCCUGUACACAAGGCGAAAUCUUAUAUAAUAGAAUUAAAAUUACACUUUACAAAGCCAGAGCCAUCUUGAGAGCAGCCAGGUGCCUCCCCCCCUACUCCUCUGCACCCCCAGGAAGAAGCAUCAGGGAACAGAGACCACCUAAAAAGCAGUGUGGUGGUGACUCCUCACUCUUCGUGCUCCUUCCAAGCAGGACUUUCCGACCUUGUCCAUGCCUGGCGCACAGAGAAAGUGGUAGUGGCUACACUGCCCAGCGGAGUAACGGAGGGAGCCGCAUGUGGAGGGCCCGUCCCUCUGGCCGCCGAGACCCCUUCAGACCCCUCUUCAGGCUUGGGGCAGCCCUCCUGCAGCAGGGCCCCAGCUGGAAAUCUCCACCCUGAGGGAUACGUUUGUGGAAUCAAAUGGCUUCCACAGUUUGUCCUCUGUCCUUCUUUUGCCGAGUGGAUGUGGUCGCAUCCCUAAAAGUUAACGUUUUUCCUAUGAUUCCACUCUACAUAAACGUUAUGCUUCAUGAAUUCUGCCUUGAUUCUCCAUAAACUCACACUCUGUCUCGUAUAUGUUGUGUAUAAUCUGGAAAAUCAUCAAUUUGGUCUGACGCUUCCAGGAAAGGAAAUGUGAUUUUCCCAUACCUAACUUGAGGCCAUCUGGCCCAUGGUGCAUGUCUGAAUGUGUCUCUGUUGAAGGAGUAACUAAGUGAUAGCUGCUUCUUACAUCAAGCUAAAAAGCUUCUGCACAGCAAAGCAAACCAUCAACAAAACAAAAAGGCAACCUACUAAAUGGAGAAAAUAUUUACAAAUCAUCUAUCUGAUAUGUGAUAAGGGAAUAAUAACCAAGAUAUAUAAAGAACUCCUACAAGUCACUAGCAAAAAAACCAAUCUGAUUACAAAAGGGGCAGAGGAUCUGAGUAGAUAUUUUUCCACAGAAGACAUACAGAUGGCCGACAGGUAUAUGAGAGGCACUUAAACAUCACUAAUCAUCAGGGAAACGCAAAUGAAAACCACAGUGACACCGCAUACCUGUUAGAACGGUUAUAUCAAAAAGACAAGAAAUAACAAGCAUUGGCGAGGAUGUGAAGAAAAGGGCACUGUUGGUAGGAAUGCAAACUGGUGCAGCCACUGUGGAAAACAGUCUGGAGGGUCCUCAAAAAAUGAAAAACAGAACUGCCAUAUGAUCCAGCAGCAGUUCCUCUUCUGUGUGUUUAUCUGAAGAAAAUGAAAACACUAACCCCCCUGUGUUCACUGUAGCCUUAUUUAUAGUAACGAAGGUAUGGAAACAGCCUAUGUGUCCAUCGGUGGAUAAAUGGAUGAAGAAGAUGUGGGAUGAUGUAUAUAUGUAUGUAACAAUAUUAUUCAGCCAUAAAAAGAGGGAAAUGUUACCAUUUGCAACAGCAUGGAUGAACCUCUAGGGCAAUCUGGUAAGUGAAAUAAGUCAGACAAGGACAAAUGCUGUAUGGGCUCAGUUACAUGUGGAAUCUUUAAAAAAGCAAAACAAGUUCAUAAUUACAGAGAACAGAUGGAUUGGGGUGGGGAUGGGCAAAUGCCCGAAGGUGGUUAAAAGGCGCAAACCUCCAGUUAUAGUGUGAAUGAGCCCUGGGGACAUACUGUGCAGCGUGGUGACUGUAGUUAACAAUACUGAGUUGGAUAUUUGAAAGUUGCUAAGAGAGUAAAUCCUAAAAGUUGUCACAAGAAUAAAAUUGUAACUAUGCGUGGUAGUCGAUGUUAACUAGACUUCUUGUGGUAGCCAUUUUGGAACAUACAAAACACGAUGAGGUUGUACACCUGAACGAUAACAAUGUUCUGUGUCGGUUGCAUCUCAAUAAAGACAAAACUCCUUGUAUAGGGACUCAUUAUUUGAUUGACAUCACAGUAGGGCUUGUUUGCAUCUUUUAAAUCUUUUUUUUCCCCCCUCUAUGUUUCCGUCUUCCUAGGAAUUCAGAAAUAGGCUUGGGAAUCACCCGAGUUCAGUAUCCCACACUUCUGCCGUCGGGCGAGACUUCGCGAGCUCCAGGAUGGCCCUCCGCUUGCAAAAUCUCCGUCGAGACCGUGCACUGAGGGUGUCCGUGGGCCUGGCUCUGUUGGCUCUUCUUCUCGCCUUUUUUUGUCAAAAUCUCUAAUGAAAACACAACUAAAUGAAACAUUGGAGAAGAAGAAUAAGUUUCUAAUUUAAAAUCUUCAAUGAACAGAACAGCAAUCACAUCAGUACUCCAAGAGCCGUCAUUUAUCCUGGUCUCCCUGCCUCUGCUCCAGCCACACUUUUUAAUGAGGCUGAUUGUGUCUCUUGUGGAGUUGGGCCAUUGGUUAUUUGACCUAAAACCUACUAACUGUUGCCAUGGCAUAUCCUUUAAAUUAAGCUCCUUUUGGUUUAUUUGCGGCAAGAAAUGCAAGCGGUUGCAUUUUCUUUCAACCUCUUGUCUUCAAGUCAGAACCUAAUUACACAGUCCUCUUUUCCUUGUGUGGGAAGAAUUUUGAAUUUCAUUAAACCUUUAAAAAUGUAUCUUUCUCUCUCUGCUUUGUUUGGAGUCCCGGUGCUACGAACAUCUUAUUUUUCA
rnacentral:lncRNA from 1 species